rnacentral:rRNA from 1 species
AAUGAACGUUGGCGGCGUGGAUUAGGCAUGCAAGUCGAGCGAGAACCGUAGCAAUACGGGGACAGCGGCGCAAGGGACAGUAAUGUGUAGAUCAGCUGCCCUCAGGUCCGGGAUAGCUGCGGGAAACUGCAGGUAAUACCGGAUAACAUCUCCGGAUCAAAGGUGUGAUUCCGCCUGAGGAUGAGUCUGCAUCCUAUUAGCUAGUUGGUAGGGUAAUGGCCUACCAAGGCUUUGUUGGGUAGCGGGUGUGAGAGCACGACCCGCGUCAUUGGGACUGAGACACUGCCCAGACACCUACGGGUGGCUGCAGUCGAGAAUCUUCGGCAAUGGGCGCAAGCCUGACCGAGCGACGCCGCGUGUGGGAUGAAGGCCUUCGGGUUGUAAACCACUGUCAGAGGGGAUGAAAUGCAGGUGGGUUCUCCCAUCUGUUUGACAUAGCCUCAGAGGAAGGACGGGCUAAGUUCGUGCCAGCCGCCGCGGUAAUAC